CCUACGGGAGGCAGCAGUGAGGAAUAUUGGUCAAUGGGCGGGAGCCUGAACCAGCCAAGUCGCGUGAGGGAAGACGGUCCUAUGGAUUGUAAACCUCUUUAGGCGGGGAGCAAUGCCGGGCACGUGUGCCAUGAGGGAGAGUACCCGCAGAAUAAGCAUCGGCUAACUCCGUGCCGGCAGCCGCGGUAAUACGGGGGAUGCGAGCGUUAUCCGGAUUUAUUGGGUUUAAAGGGUGCGUAGGCGGAUUUUAAAGUCAGCGGUAAAAUGUCCGGGCUCAACCCGGGCCGGCCGUUGAAACUGGGAAUCUUGAGUGGACGAGAAGUAUGCGGAAUGCGUGGUGUAGCGGUGAAAUGCGUAGAUAUCACGCAGAACUCCGAUUGCGAAGGCAGCUUACCGGCGCCCGACUGACGCUGAGGCACGAAAGCGUGGGGAUCGAACAGGAUUAGAUACCCCAGUAGUC
rnacentral:rRNA from 1 species